rnacentral:rRNA from 1 species
UAGUGGCGAACGGGUGAGUAACACGUGGGCAAUCUGCCCUUCACUCUGGGACAAGCCCUGGAAACGGGGUCUAAUACCGGAUAAUACUUUUCCCUGCAUGGGGGAGGGUUGAAAGCUCCGGCGGUGAAGGAUGAGCCCGCGGCCUAUCAGCUUGUUGGUGGGGUGAUGGCCUACCAAGGCGACGACGGGUAGCCGGCCUGAGAGGGCGACCGGCCACACUGGGACUGAGACACGGCCCAGACUCCUACGGGAGGCAGCAGUGGGGAAUAUUGCACAAUGGGCGGAAGCCUGAUGCAGCGACGCCGCGUGAGGGAUGACGGCCUUCGGGUUGUAAACCUCUUUCAGCAGGGAAGAAGCGUGAGUGACGGUACCUGCAGAAGAAGCGCCGGCUAACUACGUGCCAGCAGCCGCGGUAAUACGUAGGGCGCAAGCGUUGUCCGGAAUUAUUGGGCGUAAAGAGCUCGUAGGCGGCUUGUCGCGUCGGAUGUGAAAGCCCGGGGCUCAACCCCGGGUCUGCAUUCGAUACGGGCAGGCUGGAGUGUGGUAGGGGAGAUCGGAAUUCCU